UUUCCCUCUCUUUCACUUUCUUUCUUUUUUUUUUCUCUCAUAAAAAAAAGAUAUAACAAAAGAAGGAGGCUCUUUCCCAAACGGUUUUUCUCCCUCGCUGCCGGACUUCUCUUCUCAGCCAACUCUGGCCGCCUCCUCCCUCGCCGUCGGAAUUCCGUUUCCUCACCGCCAGACUGUUCUUCCGCUCUCAGCUCCGCACCCCUCUGUUCUGCAAUCCCUCAGCCUCGCGCCCCUCUGUUCUGCAAUCUCUCAGCCCUACACCCCUCUAUUCUGCAAUUAAUUCUGCAGCGCCCUCCGUUCUUCCGCUCUCAGCUCUACUUUCGUGCGUCUGCAACCUCCCUUUGUCGCUUCCUACUUCCUCCCAGUCGGUACACUCAGCACCAGUCAACCUCGAUUCUUCCUCUUCAUAUACUGCAAGCAUCUUCAAGAGGUACUGUUAUAAUCUCCUUUAUUUUUCUGUUGAAUCUUGAAUUUGGAGUUGUUGUUGUAACUAGGAUAUAG